rnacentral:rRNA from 1 species
AUUGAACGCUGGCGGCAGGCCUAACACAUGCAAGUCGAGCGAGUGGCGGACGGGUGAGUAAUGUAUGGGGAACUGCCCGAUGGAGGGGGAUAACUACUGGAAACGGUGGCUAAUACCGCAUACUAUCGGAUGAACCCAUAUGGGAUUAGCUAGUAGGUGGGGUAAAGGCUCACCUAGGCGACGAUCCCUAGCUGGUCUGAGAGGAUGAUCAGCCACACUGGAACUGAGACACGGCCCAGACUCCUACGGUAGGCAGCAGUGGGGAAUAUUGCACAAUGGGCGCAAGCCUGAUGCAGCCAUGCCGCGUGUAUGAAGAAGGCCUUCGGGUUGUAAAGUACUUUCAGCGGGGAGGCGUUACUCGCAGAAGAAGCACCGGCUAACUCCGUGCCAGCAGCCGCGGUAAUUC